CUUCAGUGAUGAUAAGAUGACGAGUCAGAAGCAGGGGGCCCUUGUUGCGGUACCUCGGCAGCAUCAUGUUCUGUGGUGCUGCUCGUGGUUGUCAGCAGGGGUGGCCUGCCAUCGUUGAAUGAUUUAGAGGCAUUUGUCUGAGAAGG
rnacentral:snoRNA from 1 species